rnacentral:rRNA from 1 species
UACGUAGGGUGCAAGCGUUGUCCGGAAUUAUUGGGCGUAAAGAGCUCGUAGGCGGUUUGUCGCGUCGGCUGUGAAAACUCGGGGCUCAACCCCGAGCCUGCAGCCGAUACGGGCAAACUAGAGUGUGGUAGGGGAGACUGGAAUUCCUGGUGUAGCGGUGAAAUGCGCAGAUAUCAGGAGGAACACCGGCGGCGAAGGCGGGUCUCUGGGCCAUAACUGACGCUGAGGAGCGAAAGCGUGGGGAGCGAACAGG